rnacentral:rRNA from 1 species
CCUACGGGUGGCAGCAGUGAGGAAUAUUGGUCAAUGGGCGGAAGCCUGAACCAGCCAAGUAGCGUGCAGGAUGACGGCCCUACGGGUUGUAAACUGCUUUUAUACGGGAAUAACGCGCCUUACGUGUAGGGCUUUUCAUGUACCGUAUGAAUCAGGACCGGCUAAUUCCGUGCCGGCCGCCGCGGUAAUACGGAAGGUCCGGGCGUUAUCCGGAUUUCUUGGGUGUAAAGGGCUCGUAGGCCGCAUGGCAAGCGUUCUGUGAAAGGUCCGGGCUCAACCCGGGCCUUGCAGCGCGGACUGGCGGGCUUGAGUCCGCGGAAAGCAGGCGGAAUUCGUCGUGUAGCGGUGAAAUGCGUAGAUAUGACGAAGAACCCCGAUUGCGAAGGCAGCUUGCUGCAGCGGAACUGACGCUGAUGCUCGAAAGCGCGGGUAUCGAACAGGAUUAGAUACCCCAGUAGCC